GUCCUGGUGAAGAUGCUGUGAACAUUGUAGAAAUGGCAACAAAGGAUUCAGAAUAUUACAUAAACUUGAUAAAGCCGCAUCAGGGUUUGAGAGAAUGGACUUUAAUUUUGAAAGAAGUUCUUCAGUGAAUGAAAUGCUAUCCAACAGCAUUCCAUGCUGUAGAGAAAUAUUUUGUGAAAGGAAGAGCCAGUUGAUGCAGCAAACCUCAUUGUUUUUUUGCCACAGCCACCACCUCCAUCAGCAACCACCACCCUUAUCAGUCAGCAGCAUGAGCAUGGAAGCAAGACCCCCCAGCAGCAAAACGAUUAUGGCUCACUGAAGGCUCAGAUGAUCGUUAAUAUUUUUUAACAAUAAAGUGCUUUUAGUAAACUACAGUAUAGGGUAGAUACUUUUACAUGUUCUGGAACACUAAAAAUUUGUGUGACUUGCUCUCUUGCAAUAUUCACUUUUGCAGUGGUCUGGAACUGAACCCACAAAUUCUCCGAGGUAUGCCUGUAUGUAUUCAACUCAUCAUCUGCUAUAUAGCUGAGAAAGAAAAGCAUCCUUUUGACAGUGUAGCGCUUUAUCCCAGGGGUGAAAAAGAGAAACAGUAUUAUUCUUUCUGGGAAACUUGGCCACAAAUAUAUAGGGAAAGGAGAACAUUGAAGUUCUGUCUUUUAAACUCUAAAUUACCUGAAUGGAGCCAGCUCAGAGCACACAGACCAUCUUGGCUGGAGUUUUCCUGCAGAAUUCUUCUAGUUUUCACGUUGCUUAGACACAAGCAGUCUGAUCACUCGUCUCUGCAUCAGCCAGUUCCUGUGUGUAUUUGGCAUUAUUUUAAGCUUAGCAAUUCAAACGGCAUUGCCUGAGUUAACUUACAUUGUGAAAGAUAGAUUACACAGAAGCAAAUAAGUGAUAAAAAUAUAAGCCUUUUACAUUUUUCUCCUGCCAUAGUAUAUCCCGUUAGAUUAUGCAUCUUUUGGUUUCUUCAGAAACCUGGCAAGAAUACAGGACGGGGAAAAGUCUUAGGAGAAAGCAGAUCUCAGUUUGCGUCGUGGCUCUACUGUGUAUAAGCAGGUGACUUUAGCGAGGUUAUUUACCUUCUUCAAGCCUCAGUUUACACAUCAGUUAUAACUGGGGAUUGUUUCCUGCCUCAUGAUUAUUGGAGUUUAAUGAGUUGAAUCUAAAACAAGCCCACUGUAAAGCAGAUCAUCAACAAAUAUGCUCCUUCCCCUUGCAAAAAGUUAGUGUUUUUAUAACUAGAGUUUGCCUUGCCCCUCAAUUUGGAAUGGCAUAAUUGUGCAGCAUGUGUGCACAUAGCUAUGGCUCUACCAUAGAAAUUGCGACCCACCCAUUAGUGGAAAUAAAUCAAGAAGAAGAGCUGCGCCAGCCUCCUUCUGACUGAGCUUGCUGGAAGGAAGGCACCUGGGUUUUCCCUCUGAGACUUUGGAGCAAGGAACUCUGCAAUGUCCUAAACCCCAUCCCGAAGAAUACACAGAUCUCCUCUCCAGGCAAUCCUCAUUGUAAUAUCAACUGACUGGUUCAAUAGACCAAAACUUCUAAUGUGAGGAGAGAAGGGAAGGUGAACAGGAUAUCCUCCUCAUCUUCUGGUCCCAGGAAUGGUGGGUCCCCAUUGAUUACCAGUGCCUAACUAAAUUACACAAUUAAAGCCAAUGUAUGUUUAAGUGAGAAAUCCCAUUCUGCUAUCACAGAGGUGCUAAUGAAUCAGGCUGUUAUUGUGGUUGUGUUUGCUAGGCUUCUAUCCUUAAUUAAGCAAUUACAGGGUCUGCUGAUACUUAUGAAUUCCUUUCAGAUGCUUUAAUUGAAUUGCAACCUAAUGGAUAUUUGUAAAGUGGGGUAUUCUUUCUCUUGGGACUUCCCAGUUUGAUUCUGUCUCUACUGCCUACUUACUUUCUGUUGGGUCCCAUUACUAGAAAUGGGCAGCUUAAAACUAUCAGAUUUUAUUUUUGUAUAAUUUAAGGAAGUUAGUAAAGUUAGGGGACUAGAAGACUAAAUUGGCUUCUAAAGAUCAAUGAUUUAAAUGUAACUAGUUUGUUGGGUUUUAUAGUUAAAAUUAUAUUUGUGUAUGUAACAUAACUCAUCCAUAAAUUAUAAUAAAUAUAUUUGCAAUUAUUAAAUAUUAAAUGAUUUUUUUAAAAAAGAAAUGGACAGCUUAACAUGUGACUUUCCUGGAGCUUCUCUAUUUCUUUACUUUUAAAGAUAUCAUUAUAAGAAUUAUAAGAAUUAUGUUCACAUCCGGGGAUCCUGGAGAGUCACUUACAGGAAAGAAUUAACGCAAUGAACAGAUUUGGGGAGUGUUUUUUAAUGAGUCCAAGAUUUUUACAAGCACAGAAUAAGAAAGAUAGUCUUCAACAGAUAAACUUUGGAUGAUACAUAAAUUAGUAGGAUAACUUUUGCCUCGAAUAUUUUUUGUCUUGUUGUGUAGACAGCCAUACAAAAAGUGUAGACAAGGAAAUACAAGAGAGCAGUUGUCAAAAGCAUAGGCCACAUACUCUGAGAAUACAGAGCAAAUAACAAUUGUUGAAUGGAAAAGUUUUCUUCAGGGAGCUGGCAUUUGAGUUUCUGAGAAGAUCUGCUACAUUUUCUUUGGGCAGGCUGGGUUUGAUUCAUCCAGGCAGAAGAAGUUGGCCUAUAUCAGAUCUCAGGAAGAGUUGCCUAAAAAAAAUGGACAUAUUCAUCAAUCAUUUUUCUCUCCACUUUUGUAUUGGUGUGUGAAUCUUCCUCUUAGCUCUUCUGCCACUGAGCGUUCACUGCUCCGCCUUCCGCUCGCCGUCUGUACAGGCACACCAUCACCCACUGGUCAUGUGAAUGAAAGUGCAAACCUCCAAUUACAGCCUGAUUAUUUUCAUCUUUACAUCAUGAGUCAUCCCCAGAAUGAGCCUCAUCAUGCUUAUGGGUCAUUCAAUUACAUGGUUAUUUAAUAAUUUUUUAUAUUCAUUGAGCACAAUGCUAGGAAUACAGAAAUGCAUGAUAUAGUUCCAGCCUUUGAGCAAAGUAAUUGUGUCUCCUGGAGUAAAGAAUGUAUCAACAUGAAGAAAAAAAUAUUUUAAAAAGCAUAAGGGUAAACAUGCCUUAAAUACUAUACAAAUGAAAACAGCUCAGGUUUUAUAAAACACUAAGAGCAAAUAUGUAACUGCUGUCAAAAAGACUAGUUUAAAACCCAGAAAUAUAGAACUCAGAGAGGAGUGGUCCCAGGUACUGACCCAGCCCAAGUCAUUGCACACCUGGUGUACGGUGAUCAUCCGAGGACCAUCCUAUUAGGAAGGACAUCAGGAAACUGCAGGUGGUCAGAUCAGAGGAGAAUGAGCAAAGAUGAUAAGAGCCUCAGCCUGCCAAUACCUGAAGAUUGGGGGUAGGAAUUAAAAGAGAGAUAUCCACAAUGUCAUCAAGUGUUUCACGGUAAAAGAGGGAGAAAUAUGAUUUGUUUAGUACUCAUUCCAGAGGAACAAAUAAAACAUCAAUAAAAAUAAGAUUUGUUUGCCAUGGUUUAAUGGCAGUCACAGACCUUGGAGCUAAAACACUUAAAGAUGAAUUCUUGCUCUCCUGCUUCCUAAUUAAUUAUUUAUGUCAGACUGGCCUGCUUAUCUUGGUGUGAUGCUGGUGACCGGGAGGUGAGGGAAACAGCAAGGCCCAUAUGGCAUUUAUGUGCCAGCCUAUCUAGGGCUUCCUAUAACUAGGAAAAGAUAGUCUUGGUGGUGUCAUCACCUUCAGUGGAGUCAGACUGCUGAGGAUGGUACGGCCUCCUGAUUGGGGUGUUCAGUCCUCACCAUCUACUUGGUUUUAUGUGCCAAGAAAAGAUAGAUGUUGAUUUACCCUUGCUGUUACAUGUCAGGCCUGUGGAUUGGCUUUGGAUGGGUAGGUCAGUGAGGAGAUUCCUUCCUUCUAAAUUCUCUGACUAGUAUUUCUAUUCUUCUAGUCCAAAGCCUUCUGUGCUUUUUACUCUUACGCUUUUAUGUUUUAAUACUGAUGAGAUGAGGGGAGAAAAUAUCCUGGAUAGAGAUGAGGCCUGUCCUAUGCAGAGCUAAUGAGACCAGUGGAAUGGUAGAGAAAGUCAGAUCUGUGAGCUUUUCCCUAGGCAUUCCUUUUCAGGUCCUUCUCCUUCCCUCCUACUUUAAAGUUCUUUCUGUCUGACUUUAAGCAGGAUUGUCUGGCUUGCUUUCUACCUGGUGGGCAUUGGGGAAUGGAAUGGGAAGCUUCCAGAAAUCUGAUGGCUUUUCUCUGUUGGAUCCUUUCCAAAAACAGCACCUGUCUCAUUGGUUGUACCCAAAUGCCUCAGUUCUAAGUCCAUUCUUGUGGCUUUCCCAGAGGAAUACAUUUCAGUGUGGAUUAUUCAACACCAUCUUGUCAACCUGUGGGCAUUUCCCAGCAGCCACUUAGUAGUAAUGUUGACAAGCUACUGUGCUGCUCACCACCACUCCAGCCCUGUGGGGGAGUCCAUUUGGCCAGACUAAUAGUAGAAAAUGACAGAAGCUGGAUGCAGGAGAGGGAGUGUAAAUGGUUUGGUAAUUUGAAAUUAAAGGUUAGUGCUUUGAAAUCUAGUAAUGGGCAGCCCCAGGGUGAGCAGUGCACACUGCUGUAAGAGUUAAUCUGGUUGCCAUGGAAACCACCUCACAAAUCCCCCAUCCCUUUCAAACAGAUUUGACUGGGUUUAAAAAAUAAAUAAAUACAACCAUUCUUCAUCAUUGAAAAGCUGUUUUCUCCCUCUCCCAAACUCCAGGUCAUUGCUCACCUUGAGUUUCUUUCAAAAAGUUUUCCUGAGGCUUCUCCAAUCAGAUGGGCUGGACUUGUUAGAGUUUGCGCCUAGUUUUUUGUGUAGAAUUUGAAUGAAUAGCACUAACAUGGGAAUUAGAAGACACUCGGUGUCCCGUGUGCGCAGCCUGUGCAAGCUUGCUCUCCUGUUGGCGUUGAGGAGGCGUCACAAUUUCAGUCCUGGCACUAGACAAGGCCACUGACCACAGAGUGUACUUCCUCGUUCCCUGUGCACGGGGGGCCCAGAAGAAGCCCAAGGAGCUGCUCUUCAUCUCAGGGCUGUGCAGUGUUCCCAGAUUCUGCUGCAGGGCUGCCAAGCACAGGCCUAGGAGGAGCAAGAACAAUCUACAGAAGUUCCUUUCAUAUUUGGAAGGCAUCUGAGACACAAUUGCAUUCUCUCCGUCAUUUUAUUUCAUCAUUAGAGCUUUUUCCAAUUUACUUAAAUGACCCUCUUAAUCUAGACCUUGUAAGUUUUUGGGCUUUUUUUAACCAAAGCUUCUUCACCCUUUGCCUAUGAUGAAGUAAAUGAGAUCUACAUCUCAUUUGGCUCCCUGCAAGAUUAGCUUAUAGGCUUGUAAAGUAGGCUUUGGAGGAAACUUUCUAUUCAAGCUUUCUGGAUUCCCUGUAGUUUUUCCUUAAUAUACUUAUUAUACUCUGUAAUGCUUUUACAAUAGCAUUCCUCAAUAAACCUUCGUAACUCCCAUGCUUACCUUUACUAUAUGUAGGAAAAUAUUUAAAUUGACUGGCUAGUCUAUGGCUGGUGGAGAAGUUCCCAUCUCCCUGCCCUUGUGUGCCUCCUUUUCCUGAGCUUGUACAUCUGCUAGUGAUUUUUCUAGGGUUAAUUUGGGUGUUUUUAUUUUUAAAUUGGAACAUGGUGUCUGUCUCUUCUCUGUGUGUGUUUUGGAUGCAGCCCCUGUGCUAGGCAUGCGGUUAUUAACUCCACUGAUAUACCAGUUCGCUCAUUAGCAUUUGCAUUUUAAAUUACAAGCUAGAGCAGACGACAUUUAUGCUAUAUUUGUACCAUUGCCUUCUUCAUGAAUGAUGUCGUAUGUGCAGGGAAUGCAGAAAUAACUUCUAAAGCCCUGAUGUAUUUUAGUCUCUUUUUUAGCAAACUGCUAUUUCUUUUUUACUCUUGAUUCUCAUUGUUUGAUAGGGAGUUUGUUUUUUUUUUUUUUUAAUUUUCCAAGUUUAGACCUAUUUGUAAGUGCUACUGAUUGGGAAGUGCUAACGACAGACCAGCCCUUCAUAUCAAAAUAGACAUAUUGCGUAGAGUGGCCAUCUUUCCCUUUCACGUGGUGCUCCUUGUAAGCAGCCUGCCUUGAUUUGAGGAGGGAGUUUUUUCCUCCACAGUUUGGUGGGUGGGAAGACAUGGUAACAGAUACUUGUUCUUGCUAGUAUUCUUGCUGGAAUCCCUCUUUUUUAUAGUUGACUAGUUACUGGUUACUUAACACCUGUUAAUUGCUUGGCACUGCAAGGGAAAAAAGGGAAAUAGUGUAUGCCUUCAAGGAUCUUAUUUUUGACAAGAAUCAUUUAUAUUGCACCACAGUACAGCAUAUACUUAAAUGUUAAUAUUGAGUGUAAAAUACCAAGUUAGUGGUGGGUUUCUUAAGUGAGAUUUGCCAGGAGGGAAGGUCUUGUGGAGCAGCUGUUGCUCUUGGCAGACGGUGUAAUAGCUUCAGCAUCUGGAUCUCAAGAACCAAAUCAGAAGUGCACAUAUAUCAUGGAUCUGUGAUUGGAGCCUUCCUAGGCUUGCACCACUGUGCCUAACAUAGUGUUUGUCUGGUUUCUUGCAGGCGGAUGGGGGCACAGAAAGCAAGUUCUGGUAGAUAGGUUUGUGUUCAUGCCAUUGCGCUUUCCUCUAUGAGCUCUAAUGUGGUUCUCUGAGUUCUGUUGCAGUUUCUUCCUGUUGGUGAAUUCUAACUUUUAAAAUAUAACAUGAAAAAUGCAGGGAAAUCAUACUGGAAGUAAAUGUGCUGCAUUGUUGGUAGGCAAGCACAAAAUCUGCAGUUGAUAGAAACUAUUUUCAUUUUCCCACAUUCUCCCUAAAGGUUUUCUCUGAUAUAAUCUUCAUUCUGCUAAUAGUUGUUGGAAUAACCAAGACACAAAGAGUUGCAUUUGAUGCUGAUGAAUCCAAGUACAGAUGAUAUAUUAAUUCAGAACCUGAUCCCUUUAAGGAGCCUCAUUACUGCACAUGGCAUAUCAUACAGUAAUAAAGAAAUUACAUGGUAUGGGGUAAUAGCAUUCUAAACUUCUUCUUAUGUUGAUCCAUUUCCCACUGUGAGGUUGGCCUCACAGUGAACAUUGCCAUAUCAUACUCACUCCUUAUUCCCUUAGAGAAUGGAUCUUACUAUUAGAAUGAGUGCUGGGGAGGUGGUAGCUUUGGUUCCUUCAACAUAGUAGCACUUGAGCUGUGCUAGUUCACAAUCCAGUUCUACUUCAUGUUUGAUACAGCUUUGUACAUUUCCUUUGAUUCUAUUCAUUAUUUUAAUAAUUUCUUACCUGGAAUCUCUUGAUUCAUGGUUUCUAAGAAAUCCAUACACAGCGCAUCAGAGCUCCAAGUGGGGUCCGAAGUCAUGUGAGGGGGUCCUUCCACCUCAGCAUCUAAGAGUUGAAGUGAGUCCAGUUCCCACCUCACCUCAGUCUUCACAUUAGUUCAUUUUCCAUAAAUAAAAGUACUCAUGAAAGUCUUUUGAGAAAUCGAUGGGCAGGACAAGACAAAAUUGAUGAAGAAUUGCUAUCUAUCUUUGUAUUUCUCCUCUGAAGAUUGUCCAUUUUGGGCCCAGUGUUUGCUGUGCCCUUCUGUGGCUUCCAUGAAAUCCAGGCUCCAGAUACAGGCCUUUGUGUCUCAGUCUUUAGCUUCUUUUAGUCUCUGUGCCUGUUACCUGGCAAAGUUGUUCUCUUGAAACUAGUAAGCUGUGCCUACCAGGGCAAGUCUAGAUCUCAUGGAGGAGAUGAGUGGGACCCCAGAAACUUGGAAGAGGUAAGGCAGAACAGGAGAUGUCAUUGGCUGGCAUCACCUGCAACCAGAUGAAGGUGCAUUUGGAUGGUAUGGCAGCAGGCACCUAGAUGGCACUCGGCACGUUCAUUCAGUAAUGUUUAGAAAUGCUCCUUAACAGUGCUGAUGAGAGCAGUUUUGACAAACAACUCACUAAAGAGCCGUGGAAUCCCACAGACUGUGUUUCAUUUUUUCAUUACAUUUGUUAACCUGGUGGAGGGCUGAUUGCUGCCAGUCACUCCCCAUCCUGCUGAGCUGGUGCUCGGAGGAGGGUGGAUGUGGCUUGACUGCGUUCCCCCAGCUGCCAAGCCAUCCAGCCUUCUUGUAGUUCUCUGUGCCUACCUCCACUAUGCCAUUGGCUCCUGACGGAAACCUUGAAUUAAGUGGGUUAGAAAUAAACUGCUUGAAUGCAUUUGUGCAGAUAGCUUCUCUCACCAGCUAUCUGAAAUGCUUUUUGAAAUACACGGGAGCCCUUUGUAAGCUGCUUUAUAAGCUGUGAAGUCCAUUGUUGCUGCUCUCUGCAGCCAGCGUGUCUCUAACCUAAGUAACGUCUACUUGGCUCUGGGCCAGUGCUUGGUAUUGGAAACUGGUGUAAGCAGCAAAGCCGCCCACCAGAGUCACUAGCAGCUGUUGCAAGUUGGAGGAUUUGCAGAAAUUGAGAUUGCUGUUCCCAGAUAUUAGCACUUGCCUGGUGAUGAAUGACCGAGUCUGUGCAAGGGGACUCUGUAUGCCUUCCUUCGGCCUUUUAUUCUCAGCCCUCUAUUGUGGCGCCUGCUCAAUGGCCCCAUUGUAGAGGAGGGCGGCUGAAUGGAGGGGUGAGUGGCCUGCCUCUACUGCCAUUCCCUCUCUCAGUUGGCCUAAACUGAGACAUUAAUAAUAGCUCUUUGAUCCCCUGAACUGGAUCUUGGGGCAGGAAUUUCGUGGCACAUAGCACAAAUGCCAAAGGCUAAGAAUCCAACCUUGAGAGAGUAGAGAAAUGAACUUCACCUAGAGCGAAUUGAGCCCUGCAUUGAGUACUCUAGUGCCCUUUUGCCUUAAUCCACCCAUCUGAUCCAGAAUAGCCAGGGAGGUAAGACCAAGACCUGGAAAGGUAUGUUCUGAUAAUGGGUGGUGUUUAUUUCUGAUAUGAUUUCCCAUGAAUGAACUUUUCAGAGGGUGACGCCGUGUUGUAUAAUUUCUUCUUAUCACAUAUACCCGUGCAUAUUCAUAUAUGCAUAUGCUGAAACCAGUGUAACAGUGCCAUCUUCCUAGAGAUUACACUGCAAAGAAGCAGCCUCAAUUAAGGGGCAUCCACCUCCUGACUAAAUCUCCCACUGCCACUCCUUCUGACAUCACUGUUUCGUCAUCAGAUUGUCAGAUGCUUGAGGGCAGGGACCUUGUCUAUCUUGUCACCACUGAACCCAUCCUAACACUGCCUAGAAUAGUGCUUCAGCAAGUUAGUGCUCACUAGAAAGUUCUUGGAUAAGUGAACGAGCACUGAUGUUUCUUGGCUAACAUUUUGACUAUUUUAAAAUUUAGAAAACAAAACCCUACGGUUGCCAUAGAGAAUAGAGAAAGAAUGCUAGAGCCGCAGCAACCCUGCAGUCACGAAUGGAACCAAACUGAGUGUCUCUCAGGAGAACUGGAUUAAUGCCUAGAUCUGCCCCCAGAGUAACAGAGCCUUGAACAGGUCACAGAGCCUCACUGGACCUCAGAUUUUUUUCAGAGGAUGAGGGGUUUGGAUUAGGUUUCUCUAAGAUUCAGUCCACGUCUGAAUUUCUAAUAAUAGUUUUCACUUAAUGAGUACUUACAUGCUGUGGAUUAAUUCAUUUGAUCCUUGCCAACAAUCCUGUGAGGUAGGCACCAUUACAUUACAAUCUCCAUUUUGCAGAUGAGAAAACUGAGGCCGGGGAAAGUGAACUUACUAAAUAAAUAGCAGAGCAUAUUUUCUUGAUCUCAUCAUAUGUCUCAUUUAGAAAGCAAUGCUCUAAUUGAUACUGAACAUACUCUCCUCCAGGUAACAAGGGACCUUUCCAGUCUUCCUCCAUUCACUGCAUCUGCCUGUGCUCUCUCACUAGCUAGGAAUCAAUCUGGUACUGCUUUUCUUCAUGACCAAAAGCAAAGCUUAAGAAGCAGACAGUGUCAGUGGCCCUACGUAGGAAGUGUAGUAAUGAAGGUGUGAAUUUUUAGUUGUUUGGGGGUUUGGAUUUGUUUUAUUGGCCCAGAGAUGACACCAAUAGGGAACACGAUGAGAGCAUGGCUAGGACAUGUGAUGGUAGAGCAAGAGACAGCAGGUCAGACUUGUGGGAUGGGUUUAUGAGCUGGGGCAUUUAUGGGUAAAUUAAACUUUAGCCCUGAGUAAGCAAAGUCCUAAGCCAGUUAUUACUGCUCUGGCACUUCUAAUGGGCCCUAUGCAACCCUUAUAAAUUAUUCAGCUGCUUUAUUAAUAAAAGGCCAAGCAACUUGCAUAGUCCUGGUGAUACUUCAGUGUAUCGCUUAGAGAGAGCAGGUUAGAGGAGUAGAAUAUUUGCCAACCACCAAGGAACCCUCUUUUCUAAUGUGGAGGUGACAGGGUUAAACUGACUACCUUGAAGAGCAGAGUUUCUGGACAGAGUGCGUGAAACUGUCAUUGAAAUGUUAACAAUGUCUGCUAACAAAGGGCUUUCCUCUGGGAAGUGGCUGUUGAGAUUUCCUGGACUUUUGGAUCUGAUGCACCUUUCGCAGAAUGGCAUGACUGCGGCGAGUAAGUGUCCCAGGAGAUCCAACAUUUAAGCCUCAGAAGUUUUUUAUUUUUUGUUUUUAAUAAUUCUUAUGCCUCUUUAUUUUAAUAUAAUUUUAUACUUACAGAAACGUUAUAAGAAGACAAGUACAAAGAUCCUUCCAUUUACCCUUUAUUAAAUUGUUAACAUAUUGCCCCACUAGCUAUUUAUGUAUUUUUAGAACCAGAGAUUUUGGUCAGACUGCUUCUCACAUCCAUAAGAACAGGAAAUGAUGUUUUUCCAUCUCAUAGAGAAAAUACGUUUUUCUAAAAGUUCAAAGGGUCACCAUUCUUGUUUCACGAUAUUGUUCCAGCCUGAAAGGCGACCCAUGGCAGUUGUACAUCCUGACUUUUCCAGGGAAACUUCUGCUUUCAAGUUCUCUGUUCAAAUUCCAGGCCAACUGUGAGGCCAGUGGGUCUUUUUGGUUCAAAACUUAGCAUUCUAGCAGCUUUGGGUUGGGGCUUCUAUCAGGUUGAGAUGUUUUCAGGGGUGAGAGAACCUAGAAGUAUAAUAGGAUUAAGUAAUGUAGUUUACAGCCCUGUCUGGAAGCCUCUGGAAAUGUGUACAUCUCAGGAUAUUUGCAUAUUUGCUGUCUGAGUUUUUCAUGCUGCCCCUGGCUAUGACAGGAGCUUUAUACUGUUACAUUCUUUUAGAUUUCAGGAAAUAAUGGGUCAAAAGUAUGGCAAAAUAAUCUACUUCAUAUAUAUUUCCAAGCAUGUUGGGAUUGUUAUUUAAUGGCACUAUGAGAAUUUCAGUGUUUUUUUUGGUCAACUACAAAUAUUAGCUGAAUAUCAACCUGCUGAAUGCAGAUGAACAGCACAGAGAUGAGAGGGCCCUCAAGGCUGACGCUUCUCAAGACACCAGCUCGAGAGGCACGGAGGGCAGCUAGUACCUGAUUCCUCUGGCGCUGGCCUCACAUGUCAUGGCACAGACUAAAAGGAAGACUUAUUUUUGUCAACUUUGCACACUCAUCAUUUUUGCAGUUCCAUCCACUCUUGAGUCUUGUGUCCUCCUGCAUUUUCACUGAAAUGAAUACCGUGUUGGUAUGUUUCCUUGUCCUCAUUGAUUAUGUCUCUUUCACCCUCACUCAGCUCUGUUUUCUCACCCAUCAGAGAACAGUAUGGAUUUUAUAGCUUUAAUAGCAAGCAUUGUGCCAAUAAUGGCCUCACCAUUCUUAGCUUUUGUACUUUUUUUGCCCCCAUUGCUAUCCACGAUCCUAUAAAGGACUGCAAGGAGAUUGAUACUUUUUGGUACAGCAGGACACACUCAGUGUAGUAGGGUUGAGGUAGGAAACCUAAUUCAAGGGGAAUAAAAUAGGUGAAACAUGAGUUGGAAAUAGUUAGAGGAAAGUUGAUAAUGGAAAGUUUAGUAAGUAAGAAAUUGGAAGACCUUCUCAUCCAGACUCUACUCCUUCCUGUAUGGCCUUAAAACAAAGCUCACACAGGUAUCUGCUCCUGCUUCUCUGACUCAUUGUUUGUGCCUUUAUAGGCUGUACCUCCGCCCUCAACCCUCCAUUGUUAACUCCAGGUUAUAGUCCUGGCUAUUGGCCUUGAAUUAUGUGAAACGGUAUCUGAUGUUCUUUCAAGGGCUCAAAUGCCAUGAUCUUAUCAAUUCUGCUCCUUACUCUCUUACAUUUUGAGUUUGAAAUCACGUCAGCUGAUCAGCAAAUUGAGUUGAUUAAAUUUUUUGCCCUGACAUAAAUGUGAUCUGUAUGAGUAGGAGAUGACAGCUUAGAAGACAGCCUGGGUCUUCCUUUAGUUCAUCAGAUAAACACUCUAAUUGGAUAACAGAGCUCAGUUUUAAAGGAGACUGAGCUCAAAGGUGAGCUAGCCAAGGGCUAAUGCUAAUGCCAUUGAUCCAAUUCUCAGAAGAGCAAUUAGGGCCCUAAUGAGAUGAGGACCUUAGGCUUUUGUGAUAGCACCAGAGAGAAGCUGAGAAACUGUCUUGAAUGGCCCUACCAGCUUGGAGCAAGCUGCUUGUUUGGGAUUCACCCGUUGCUCAAAUGUCUCCCAGAUGUUUGUGCAAGAUCUGGGCCCCUGCAUAGCCCAACCCUCUUCCGUUCCCAGUUCUCUUUUUGUAAGGAUGAUAGAUUCAUGAUGCUCACCAUUUGAUUUAACUGGGAUUUGUCUUUCUUUGUCAGGUGCUCAUUCGUAAGGCUACAGAUUUAAACACACAAGCUGAGAAAUAAGUUUCAAGUUCUGUUAAAAUGCUGUUUCGCCCACUUCACACAUGUGGUAUAUUAAGGGUUCACCUUUAGCAACAGCCAAUUAGUAAUUGCCAAUACUGCUUAUGUGUGGUGUGGGAUUCUUAACAGUUGCUAUGAGAACUUAACUUUUGCAUUCCCUGACUCAUUUUACAUGAACAAUGCAAAUGUGAAGAGAUUUGAAGGGGAGGGAUGAGAAGACAGGGAGCUGGCAAAUAAACGAAGCCCUGUUCCCUCGUAAAUCAUUUUGAAUGGUAAGUUCUUGAUGCUCAUUCGGUUUUUCCACCUCACACUCUCUCAUGCACAUUUGUUUUCCCUAAACCCUUAAGAAGAAAGUAAAAUAGUUUGACCUUUAUUUGCAUCAAACUUAAAAGCAGUUCAAGUUCAAUACUUAGCAAGAAGAUUGCCUUUAAUGAGCCAAGUUUAGAAGAGCUGGAUUUUAAUCUCUUAAUGUUGGAAGGAGAUGAGAUGUGCAUACACACUGAGAAAGUAAGCUUAUGGCUUUAACUAUUAAAUUCAAAAAUGAAUCACUCUCCCAGCAGCAUUUAAGAACAAAAAACUGUGUGGGUUUCUUUUGUUGUUGUUUGUUUUGGGAGGAAAAGCAUCUCAUACAGCAUGCGCCUGUGUGUGAAAUCUUGCAAUUUGAAAAACACCCUUUCCUCAACAGCCCAGAAGUCAUCUUUACUUGUUUUGGACAUCACCUGAGGACAAAGUUUUUUUCCCAAACCAAGGUCGUCCUUUGCCUUCUUUGAAGCCGCCUCCCAGCUCAAGAUCUGGCCCCAGCACAGGGUGAAAUGUGGUUAGAGCCUCUGAAGAAUGAAAAGGUGCUUCCCUCAGCCUUUGUCAGCGCUAAUGGCCAGCUGUGUUUUGUGCACUGUCACUUUGUUUUUCCUCUCCCUUGUCAUUUGGUGGGCCAGGCUUUAUGCUGAAUAGCUGAUAAAGAGUGCUUAUCCCCCACUCCCUUCCCUCUCAGUUCUCUUCCUCUUACUGUACUUGAAAGAAAACUGGAAUGCUGGGUCAGAACUUCUUGAUUUGCCCUUCAGAGUGGAAACUGUAAAGGGUCUGUGGUCACUAGGACCCCAAGAGCUCUAGAAUAGCUCUUCCCAAACUUACUAAAUGGGUCUGGAGUUGGGCUAGAGAAUUUGCAUUUCUAGCAAGUUUCCAGGCGAUGUCAAUAUCAGUGAUUUGCAGACCCUCAUUUGAGUAGAAAGGGUCUAGACUUCCCUCCGCCUUUUUUUUCUCUAGGUUUGGGAAUUAUGAAAUAUUCAUUGCAUACACAAAGUGUUAGUGGCUAAGAGAACAGGUUUGGAGCCAGUCCCCACCUAGUCUAAGUUUAGGCUCCCUAACUUGCUAGAUAUGUGAAACUCCCAGUUUCCGCAUUAAAGAAGUGGAGAAAAAAUAGUGUCAUUGUGAUCAGCAGAUCAUCCUUGUGAUGUGCCUCUUAUCCGGUGAUAUAGCACUUGUAUGAUGCAAAGAAGCCCUACGUGGCCAUUUUGAUCCAACACUUGAUGUGUGAAUUGAAUCCUGCCCGCAUACAUGCUAUUGUCCAGGAAGGCCUUUGCCUUAUGACAUUUUAGAGCAUAUCCUUGAACCAGUAUGUGACUUUCCCUACCAUCCAUGAAAUGAAACUGCAGUCUACUAUUACAUUCCCUUCCUCCUGCCCAGAUUAGCCCUUGCCUGGUGAGAGGUACUGAGCUCUUAGUGUGCAUACUAAGCUGGUCUGUCAUUGUGGCCACAUCUUAUAGAGAUUUAAUGGAUCUCUCCUGCCUUGAUGCUUGUAGUCAGGACCUCUAUGUUGUACAGCAGAGUGGGGCAAUUAGCCACCCACCUUGAAGGGUAAGAGGGCAGUUCUUUCAGUAGCAAUGGUAGUUGCAGAUUAAAUCUCAGAUGUGUAUAGGACCAGAGACUCUUUAAAAAAUAUUCUGGAUCUCAUACCCCAUUAGGAUGGCUACUAUCAAAAAACCAAAAGAUAGCAAGUAUGAGCAAGAACCAAUUUAUUAAUUUUUAAAAUCAAUACCAAUUCAAAACACAUCUAGAUUUGGAACCCUUGUGCGCUGUUUGUGGGAUUGUAACGUGGUGGCAGCUGCGAUGGAAAGUAGUAUGGAGAGUCCUCAAAAAAUGUUAAAUAUAAUUACCAUGUGAUCCAGUGAUUUUGCUUCUGGGUAUAUAUCUAAAGGAAAUGAAAUCAGUAUCUUGAACAGAUACCUGGAGUCCCUUGUCCAUUGCAGCACUUACUCACAAUAGCCAAGAUAUUCAGACAACCUAAAUGGCCAUCUAGGAACCAAUGGAUAAAGAAAAUAUGGUAUAUACCUACCAUGGAAUGUGAUCUAGCCUUAGGGAAAAAAAAAAA